CCCUCCAUUUCCCAUGAUUCCCAUCCCUGAAGACAUCAUCAUUAGGUGACCUGAAACAGUGCUAGAAGAAUGGGAUCACAUGCAGGAAACAAUAAAUAUGUUUGACAGACAGGUUUUUGGUUACAAACCAAGCAUUUUUGACCUGAUGAUGGUGCUAGAUAACCAUUCAGUGCAUCACUAGAGUUAUUACAAUUCAUCCUGAGUCUGGACCAAAGGGGCAGAUGGACCACUGAUAGACUGACAUUUCCAUCCACACCACAGCUAACAAAUAUUAGAUAUCUUUAAUGCUUUGAUCAUCUCACCAUGAAACAAAUGUCUCACCUGAGCCCGGAAGCAGCGUCCUGACAUCUCGUCCCUGAGUCCUGAGGCUACGAGAGCUCCGAAAAGUCAGACAGUCAUCAGUCAUACAGCAGGAUGAAGGGGUUGGUGUGAUGACAGCGACGUCUCUCCGGCCCCGGUGCCAUUCCUCCAGCUAUUCCUGACCACAUACAUCUCCUGAAGAAUGAACCAGGUUCACCCGAUGUCAGCUGGGAUUGGCUCCAGCCCCCCGCGACCCUAUAUAUCUCGUCAUGGAGAGAUAAGCCGCUGCACGGCAUGUACCACAGACAAAUAGAAGAAGUGGCUGAUAUCAAGAAAUCCUACCAGUGGCUGGAAAAGGCUGGACUGAAGGACAGCACAGAAGCACUAAU